GGCAGGAUCCCGGCAGGCAGGACCGGAGCGCGGAGCCCCGGACCCGCCUCGGGACUGGGACUCGGGAGACACUUUGAGGCCCGCAGAGGACAUGUCUCCAAGGCCGAGUGUCAGCCGGAUGAAGGACCUUAAGCCCUGAGAGGUCAAGAGAGAGACUUGCCAGGACCACAGAGCUAGUAAAUGGCAGUGUGGCUUUGAACCCAUACCUGUGCUACAGCAAAACCCAGGCUUGCAGCAACUACCAGGAGAUUCUGGAUGGCCCUUCCUGUUCUCUGCUAAUUACCUGCUGGUAAAUUCUGCUCAAAACACAUGUUUUCCACAAAGCUUUCUCUAAUGAACUCCACCCAGCUCUAAAUACCCCAUUACUGUCUAUUAAUGUUGUUUGCACUGUAUUAAUUUGUCUUAAUAUGUUUACCUUUGUUUCCUAAGUGUCUCUAAGACUUCUGUAAAUGAUCUGA